rnacentral:rRNA from 1 species
GACGAACGCUGGCGGCGUGCUUAACACAUGCAAGUCGAGCGUGCAGAGGACUUCGGGUCCGAAGCAAGCGGCGGACGGGUGAGUAACGCGUGAACAAUCUGUCCCAGACAGGGGGAUAACACUCUGAAAAGGGUGCUAAUACCGCAUAAUACCACCUGGUGACAUCACCGGAUGGUCAAAGAUUUAUCGGCAAAGGAUGGGCCUGCGUCUGAUUAGCUAGUUGGUGGGUAACGGCUCACCAAGCCGACGAUUGGUAGCCGGACUGAGAGGUUGAACGGCCACAUUGGGACUGAGACACGGCCCAGACUCCUACGGGAGGCAGCAGUGGGGAAUAUUGCACAAUGGGCGAAAGCCUGAUGCAGCAACGCCGCGUGAGGGAAGACGGCCUUCGGGUUGUAAACCUCUGUCCUCAGUGACGAAGAAAGUGACGGUAGCUGAGGAGGAAGCCACGGCUAACUACGUG